rnacentral:rRNA from 1 species
GCUCAGGACGAACGCUGGCGGCAUGCCUAAUACAUGCAAGUCGAGCGGACUUGAAGAGAAGCUUGCUUCUCCGAUAGUUAGCGGCGGACGGGUGAGUAACACGUAGGCAACCUGCCCUCAAGYUUGGGACAACUACCGGAAACGGUAGCUAAUACCGAAUAGUUGUUUUCUUCUCCUGAAGGAAACUGGAAAGACGGAGCAAUCUGUCACUUGGGGAUGGGCCUGCGGCGCAUUAGCUAGUUGGUGGGGUAACGGCUCACCAAGGCGACGAUGCGUAGCCGACCUGAGAGGGUGAUCGGCCACACUGGGACUGAGACACGGCCCAGACUCCUACGGGAGGCAGCAGUAGGGAAUCUUCCGCAAUGGGCGAAAGCCUGACGGAGCAAUGCCGCGUGAGUGAUGAAGGUUUUCGGAUCGUAAAGCUCUGUUGCCAGGGAAGAACGCUUGGGAGAGUAACUGCU